GCCGCCUUGGCGGAACUGGUAGACGCGCCGGACUCAAAAUCCGGUGGGGGCAACUCUGUCCCGGUUCGACUCCGGGAGGCGGCA
rnacentral:tRNA from 1 species